CACGUAGGGGGCGAGCGUUGUCCGGAUUCAUUGGGCGUAAAGGGCGCGCAGGCGGCCCGGAAAGUCGGAUGUGAAAACUCGGGGCUCAACCCCGAGCGUGCACCCGAUACUGCCGGGCUUGAGGCAGGUAGGGGAGAUCGGAAUUCCUGGUGUAGCGGUGAAAUGCGCAGAUAUCAGGAGGAACACCGGUGGCGAAGGCGGAUCUCUGGGCCUGUCCUGACGCUGAGGAACGAAAGCGUGGGGAGCGAACAGG
rnacentral:rRNA from 1 species